rnacentral:ncRNA from 2 species
UACAUACUUCAUGACCAUGGAUGCGCGGAAGAGGGGUGCAAAGCCCCCGCUGCCCCGCAGCCGUAAAGGGAACGAACGUCCAGCGAAGUCACUGUCGCUCAGGCGCGAUGGGAAGACGGACUAGUAGGCAGCCCUGAGCCGGAAUACCGCUCCAUGGGAGUAACCUCGAG